AUGGAGACCCUGAGGCGCUUCGCCCGGGAGUGGUGCGCCCAAAGGCUUCCUCUGGCGCAGACCAUUGUUUGGGAGGUGUGGCUUUGUGAGUUCUGGCUACUACUGCUGGGUUCCGGUUUAAACGCGCGUUCUUUGCCACACGAAGAGGACGUAACGUUUAUCAAUGAGUACGUGAACCUCCACAAUGAGCUCCGGGGCAGCGUCAUCCCCCGAGGGGCUAACUUGCGCUUCAUGACUUGGGAUGUAGCUUUGUCACGGACUGCUAGAGCAUGGGGGAAAAAAUGUGUGUUUGAACGUAAUAUUCAUUUAGAAAAACGAAAAAUGGCCCAUCCUAGAUUUAAUGGUAUUGGUGAAAAUAUGUGGGUCGGCCCUGAAAAUGAAUUUACUGCAAGUAUCGCUAUCAGAAGUUGGUUCGCACAGAGGAAAAAGUACAAUUUUGAAAAGAACAGUUGCUCUGAUAACUGUUCUAAUUAUCUACAGCUUGUUUGGGACCAGUCUUACAAAGUUGGUUGUGCUGUUACUCCAUGUUCAAGAAUUGGACAUAUUAAACAUGCAGCACUUUUCAUAUGCAACUAUGCACCAGGAGGAUCUCUGUCAAGAAGUCCUUAUCAACGAGGAUUAAUGUGUUCCCGAUGUAGCAUCUAUGACAGAUGCACAGAUUUUCUAUGCAGUAAGAUAAAGAAAAUAACUGAAACAUGAAAAAAAAUCCAUAAUGCAUUGGAUGACAAGAAAAAGAAGUGGUAAUGCAGGUCGUGACCAAGCCAUAUAUUACCGAUUUUGGUAUCCAAGAUGGGAAGUACCCCGGCCAAUUGUGUGUGAUCCACUGUGCAUGCUUAUUUUAUUUCUCAGAAUGCUGUGUUUUUCACUAAGUGCCGCAA